UAGGUUGGUGCAAAAGUAAUUGCGGUUUUUGCCAUUAAAAGUAGUGACAAAAACCACAAUUACUGUUGCACCAACUUAAUA
rnacentral:miRNA from 1 species